UGAAAUACUGGUUCUCAUCUGAUCACCAAAGUUAAGCAAUGUUGAACCUGAUCAGUACCUAGAUGGGUGACCACAUGGGGAAUACUAGAUGC